GUGUUUGGAUAUCUGUAAAUGAUAAACAAGAUGGCAAACAAAUAAAAAUCCAGAAUGUGAGGCUUUCAGGUGAAAUGGUCUUUAACCAUGUUUCUGGCUACAGCCUUCAUCAAAAGAAUUUCUAUCAGCAGGGGGAGCAGAGCUUAACAUUAAGACGAAGAUGAGGAAAUUGAGGGCAGGUAAUUUGCCCAAGGUACCAAGCAAGUACACGCUGGACCACUAUUUUGAACCAGGGCUGUCCAGGUCCCCGUGUCACCAAGAUUCAGAGGAAAACUGGCCCACUUUGAACUGCCAGACAUAGAAACUUCCCUGAAGAUAUGGCUCUUGCUCUAUGGAAAAUCUGUCAGGCUGACUCAGUUUCUCUAGCACAAGUGAAAACGAGCUGGUUAGAACAGACCGGUUUGAAGCAAGUGUACAAUUCCUCGCCUUCAGAUGAGGAAACAUAGGCUCUUAGAUAUUAAGUAACCAGCCAAGAAGAUACAGCUAGUAAAUGAUGGAGCAGAAUUGAAAUCCAAGCCCCCUUGACACCAUGGUUCACACCCGUAAUCACUGCACCCUACUUGUACAACUCAUGUGGAGUGGCUCCAGCAUGAAUUUUGGAGUUUGGGAGCUGGAUAGCCCCAGAGUCACAUUCUCGCUUUAUUACUCAGUUGGACCACAUAACCAACCUUUCUAAACGUUGGUCUCUUCAUCUGCAAAAGGUAGGAACCUUAAUGCUUAGCUUUCAGGGUUGUGAGUAAAGAAGUACUUUUGUAACCAUAUUGCAUCCAAAGACCUGGUUCAGUCUCAGAACCGGAAUCCCUUUGCACAGCAGGAACACAAAGCUCUUACAACAAUAACUGCUGUUGUGUUUUGUUUCACUUACAAAGCCUCUAGCCCAUGGUACACAUGCAAUAAGUAUGUAGCUAUUCGAAUUCUUGUUUUUAAAUAUACUUUCAAGUUACAUCUUUAAAUAACUAACUCAAUUUAUCUGAUUGAAAUGUUACUUAAAUCAAGCUCCUUCUCUACCCCAUCCUCCACGUUUUAAAAGACUCUCAGUCGUUUCUCCUCAUUUGUACUGAAACAGAGUGAGAUGUAUAGCAGAAGCACGAUCUCAGCCUCAAGCUACGUCCCUCGAAAUUUUAGAUUGACUUGUACAUAUUUAGAAAUCUGAAUAAAUAAACCCCCAGGACCAAGAUGCUCCUGGAAAAGAAGUCAAGAGGUGAGGCCCACCUACUGGCCUGGUUUGAGUACAAGGACAACCUCAGGGUUGGAGAGGAAAUGGAUCUGUGCCACACAGAUUUUCCACUGACCCAGCUCAUGGGAAUUUCUGUCUGAUUUGACACAGCAGUCCCUACUUCUUCCUUCUUCCAAGAUUUUCCUGUAUAAGACUCUUGUCUUGCUAUAAUUUAACCUUCACACAGCAGCCGGAAGGGUCUCUCUAAAAUGUAAAUCAGAUCCUGCCAACUGCCCUGCCCUAUUUAAAACUUCCAACAGCUACCCACUGCAUGGUUAAAAUCCAAACCCUUUAUCAUGGCUUACAAGAUCCUUACAAAAGUUGCCCCUGACUACCUCUUUAAACUCAUUUCUUUCCACCUGUCACUUCAUUGUGACACUCCAGCUAUAAUGGCCUUCUUCUAUCAUUCCUGCCUCAGGGCAUUUGCCCUUGGUGUUCCUUCUUCCUAGAACCCACCUUAGCUAAAACAGCCUUCCCAGAAACUCUUAUUACACUAUCCUAGGCCAUCUGUCUUCAUAGUACUUACCAGCACGGGAAAUUAGCUUGUUGGAAUAUAAGCUCUAGUAUCGGGAAUGGUAGCUGGUAAACAGUAGGUUCUCACUGUUCUCUGCACCCAUCCUCCUCCCUCCCCUGCCAGUUUCCAAUCCCUGCUCUAUACCCUGGAUUUCAGCACAGCUCUGCCCAUCUUGGCUUGGUAACCCACUUGGAUUUCAUUGUCUGUUUUUCUGACCUCAGCCCAGUUGACUCUUUUGACUCCAUUUGACUCCCGGUCCUUCAGAUUCCUUGGAUUUCAGAAUCAUUCAGAAUGUUGCUUGAGAAACACUUCUGCCAUCCUAGCCUGGCCCCAAGCCCAUUUCUCAGUGAAAGAGCUCCGUCUGCUAGCUCAUGUGGGAGCAGCCAUCUACACUGGCUCUCAGGACUAUAGAAGUCUUCACCCGAAGAGGCCCACUUUGACCACUGGACCUUGAAGCAGUUAAAGUAAAAACAGAAACACACGCUAUUUCAAAGGAGGCAAGAUCCCUUCUCAGUGACUUUCUUCGUAUCAGGCAGCCCAAACCACUGGGCUAUCCAGAAAAUAGGACUGUCGGGAUGUGACUGAAGCUUGUCUGACCAGACCAAUUGUCUGGCCCUGGAACGAUGCUUCCAUCUCAUUCUGGGGGUGGCCAUCAUGAGACAGUCUAUCACACAUGGUAUCACACAAUGAUUCCCUGCUACACGCAGAAAGCCACAACCGAACUCCAUGAUCUAAACUCCAUGAUCCAUACUAGGUGUCAGAUAUUUUAUGGUCAUGCUUCCACUUAAUUUUCACAAUAAAAUUAAGGUAGAUGAUUAUCCCCAUUUAACAGAUAAGAAAAUCAAGGCUCGGAGACAGGUAAAGUCAUUUGCUCAAGGUCAUGUAACAAAUGAGUGGGAGAACCUGAAUUUCUGAUUCCAAAGUUCAUGCGCACAAUCCCAACCCUCUACGUAUUCAAUCAUGGAUCUCUUCUCACACACACGCACACACACACACACACACACACACGCACACACAAUUAUAUACUCCUCAAGAGCUGGAAUUUAUUUCCUGUUCAUCAUUCACAUAACACAGGGACUGACCCUUAGCGAAUGGUCAGCAUAUUUUGCAAAUGCGAUCCUGAUACUAUUGCAUUAAUGUUAUAAUUUAUAUAUACUAUAAUUAAUAGAUUAAUAUAAACAUGCACGGCCAUAACACUCCACUGUUGGCUUUCCUAUUCCCUGCUACUGGUCAUUUGGACUACUUCUAAUUUUCAGUUUUGCUGUCCAAUACAGUAACUUGCUCUUACUAGAACAUGGCGUGGGAGGGAGUGAGGAGUAGAAGAUGAACGUAAUAAAGGAAAAAUAACCCUGCGUCUUUCAUGGGACCAUUCAGAGGGAAUCCAAUUAAGUAACAGACUAAUUACACAAAAUAGAGAAAUAAUUCUGGGAUUAUGAUAACAAAAUUGCCAGGCUUUUCUAGUAAUCUUCAAUACCACAAGUUUCAUUAGAAAAGCAGAUGUGUUUAUUAUAUUGUAAAAUACCCAAUACUAUCCUCGUUAGGCAAGAUUCAAAAUGUUUUCAAAACUGAAUACUGGUGUACAAAACAGAAGUGUCAAAAUUCUAUAAAGGAAAAAAUAUGUGGCUAUCUUUUAGCACACUGAAUUUGGUUAGUCAUGUGCCAGAAGUAUUAAAAUAUAUAUACAGCA